rnacentral:misc_RNA from 1 species
ACCCAGAGCUGCCUAUACCAGA